UACGUAGGGGGCUAGCGUUGUCCGGAAUCAUUGGGCGUAAAGCGCGUGUAGGCGGUCCGGUAAGUCCGCUGUGAAAGUCGGGGGCUCAACCCUCGAAUGCCGGUGGAUACUGUCGGGCUAGAGUGCGGAAGAGGCGAGUGGAAUUCCUGAUGUAGCGGUGAAAUGCGCAGAUAUCAGGAGGAACACCAAUUGCGAAGGCAGCUCGCUGGGACGUUACUGACGCUGAGACGCGAAAGCGUGGGGAGCAAACAGG
rnacentral:rRNA from 1 species